rnacentral:rRNA from 1 species
GGGUGCGAUCAUACUAGCGUUAAUGCACCGAAUCAAAUCAAAACUCUGCAAUUAAGCGCGCUUGAGCUAGAGUAGUACUAGGAUGGGUGACCUCCUGGGAAGUCCUAGUGUUGCACCCU